UACGGAGGGUGCAAGCGUUGUCCGGAUUUAUUGGGUUUAAAGGGUGCGUAGGUGGCCUUAUAAGUCAGCGGUGAAAGUCUACAGCUUAACUGUAGAACUGCCAUUGAUACUGUAAGGCUUGAGUACUGAUGAGGUAGGCGGAAUUGAUAGUGUAGCGGUGAAAUGCAUAGAUAUUAUCAAGAACACCGAUUGCGAAGGCAGCUUACUAAGGAGUUACUGACACUGAGGCACGAAAGCGUGGGGAUCAAACAGG
rnacentral:rRNA from 1 species